rnacentral:rRNA from 1 species
UACAGAGGUGGCAAGCGUUGUUCGGAAUUACUGGGCGUAAAGGGCGUGUAGGCGGCUUUUUAAGUCAGACGUGAAAUCCCCCGGCUUAACCUGGGAACUGCGUCUGAUACUGGAGAGCUAGAGUAUGGGAGAGGAAUGUAGAAUUCCAGGUGUAGCGGUGAAAUGCGUAGAUAUCUGGAGGAAUACCGGUGGCGAAGGCGGCAUUCUGGACCAUUACUGACGCUGAGACGCGAAAGCUAGGGGAGCAAACGGG